rnacentral:lncRNA from 1 species
AAUCAUCAAUCGAUCAGAACAAGUAGGAUGCGAUUUUCUCUUACCAGGAGUGAUCGAUUCCAUAUUGACCUACUCACAACCUCCAUACACAUUCUAUCAUAUCUAGAAUACUCUGUACAUGACUAAGUCAUGAAUGAGUAUGAACCAAAAAAUAUAGAUUCAUGUAUACAAGGUUCUAUGGUAGUCUCAGGUCAAAGGAUUACAUGCACAACUCCCACUCUAGGAAAAC